UCUAUAUUUUGUCUCCAGUUACAGUAUUGUUUAAUAGGCUUAUAUGGCUACGUUUUACAGGACAUCAUAAGUGUUUCAAGCCAGUGCUCUCGGUACAUGAUGGCAAUUUGCGAAUUUCCAUAAAUAAAUCCGACGUCACUACGCCCCUACCUAAAUGGACUCCAGCACAGUUUAUUAGAAAUGUCUUGUUGGCGUCUGGCCUUUCGCUGAGCUCCCGCCCGAAUGCGUGUGACGUCACGGAGGACGCCGUCGGUGACGCGGAUGCUCCUCAGCAAGAAACAGAUGAAGAUCAAACAGCCCAUCUAGGACGGAAGUGGUCUUUUGCAUUCCAAGCCUUCAUUAGCAGCAUGUGCUAUCUGCUACCAAUCUGAGUUCCUGCUCAAGUGUGUUGCCUGGACACAGACACACGAAUCCUCUGUCCGGCCCAAUCAUAAUCAGCAGCCUCUGACUGAUGCAUGAGCUGCCGAGCACAUUGCUGUGAUGAGUUUAUUAACUGCUCUAGUGCAACGUCCAGUUGUUCAAAAGUAAAGGAUUCUGAAAUUGAA